GAUCGAGGUAAGUUCCGUUUCGCCUCCUUUUCCCUUAAUAUUUUAGUUACUUUGUUUUCCUGACGAAAUGCUUGCGUCGGCAGCUGAUCUACACCAUGUCGGAACUCGAAGCCGGAUACCGGAGGUUCGGGAACGUCCGGGCGGCUUGGAAAGAAAGGUCGGCGACGGCCGAAGCCGACCGGACAAUGCUGGUCGACCACCUGAAGCAG
rnacentral:lncRNA from 1 species